CAGAAAAUAAAAAUGUAAAAUAAAAUGCUCUCCCAUGAUGUACUCUCUUAAGAGGCCACAAAGAAGAGGAGGAGCCGACAAGGAUGAGAAAGAGGGAACAGAUAUAUAAGUGGUAUUACAGAAGCCAAUGCUUUCCCUUAGGUGUUAUUCACAUUUGCUUUUGUGUAUGGUGUGUAUGGAUUCUUCAGGUUCAAGACAGUUUCUCCAAGAUCAGAGGGAGGUCAUUCAUCUUUGUGUGGUUCAUAGGCAGGUGGAGUGUGGACACCGGGAUACCUGUGUCACCGCCAUUGCCAGUUGAAGGUUAGCUCAUCUGUGGACACCGGGAUACCUGUGUCACCGCCAUUGCCAGUUGAAGGUUAGCUCAUCUAUGGACACCAGGAUCCUGUGUCACCGCCAUUCCCAGUUGAAGGUUAGCUCAUCUAUGAUUUUCUUAUACGUGACUGGCGCCCCCUUGUGAGUAGGGACUUAAGUUGACCUUCACUGCAGAAGAAAGACCAGGGAAAUACCUGAAGCUGUUUUAAAAAUUUCUCCUUCUAUUAAGUAUUAAUAAUAUGCUGCGGUUUUGCGUGUGUGAAUGGAGGUAUGGGUA
rnacentral:lncRNA from 1 species